CCUACGGGUGGCAGCAGUGGGGAAUAUUGGACAAUGGGCGAAAGCCUGAUCCAGCCAUGCCGCGUGUGUGAAGAAGGCCUUCGGGUUGUAAAGCACUUUCAGUGGGGAAGAAAGCCUUGGGGCUAAUACCCUCGAGGAAGGACAUCACCCACAGAAGAAGCACCGGCUAACUCCGUGCCAGCAGCCGCGGUAAUACGGAGGGUGCGAGCGUUAAUCGGAAUUACUGGGCGUAAAGCGCGCGUAGGCGGUCUGAUAAGCCGGUUGUGAAAGCCCCGGGCUCAACCUGGGAACGGCAUCCGGAACUGUCAGGCUAGAGUACAGGAGAGGAAGGUAGAAUUCCCGGUGUAGCGGUGAAAUGCGUAGAGAUCGGGAGGAAUACCAGUGGCGAAGGCGGCCUUCUGGACUGACACUGACGCUGAGGUGCGAAAGCGUGGGUAGCAAACAGGAUUAGAUACCCUAGUAGUC
rnacentral:rRNA from 1 species